rnacentral:ncRNA from 2 species
UACGGAGAAGGCAAGCGUUACCCGGAAUUACUGGGCGUAAAGCGUUGCGUAGGUGGUCUGUUAAGUGAAGUGCGAAACCUUAUGGCUCAACCAUAAGCUGGUAUUUCAAACUAGCAGACUAGAGGACAGGAGAGGUGAGUGGAAUUCCUAGUGUAGGAGUGAUAUCCGUAGAUACUAGGAGGAACACCAAUGGCGAAGGCAGCUCACUGGACUGAUCCUGACACUGAGGCACGAAAGCGUAGGGAGCGAACCGG